ACGGCUCAGUAACACGUAGCUAACCUACCCUUAGGUUAGGGAUACCCUCGGGAAACUGAGGUUAAUACCUAAUAUGAGAUUUACCCUGGAACGAUUUAUCUCUUAAAUUCGUGCCUAAGGAUGGGGCUGCGGCGGAUUAGGUUGUUGGCGGGGUAACUGCCCACCAAGCCAAAGAUCCGUAAGGGCUCUUAGCGGAGGGGCCCUGAGAGGGAAUCUGAGAAACUAUUCCCAGCCCUACGGGGUGCAGCAGUUAGGAAUCUUCUGCAAUGCGCGAAAGCGUGACAGAUUGAGCCAGAGUGCUUUUCUUUUUUGAAAAGCUUUUGCCAAAUAUAAAAAGUUUGGCGAAUAAGGACUGGGUAAGACGGGUGCCAGCCGCCGCGGUAAUCCCAGCAGUCCAAGUCGCAGCCACAUUUGUUGGGUCUAAAAUAUCCGUAGCUUGCCUUUCAAGUCUUUUGUAAAAUCGGGACUCUUAAGGUUCCGGCGGGCAAAAGAUACUGUAAGGCUAGAGACCGGGAGGUGCAAGAAGUACGAAUAGGGUAACGGUAAAAUGUGCUGAUCCUAUUUGGACUAACAGUCGCGAAGGCGUCUUGCAAGAACGGUUCUGACAGUGAGGGAUGAAGGCUAGGGGCGCAAAGUGGAUUAGAUACCCAUGUAGUCCUAGCAGUAAACACUGCACACUAAACAUCAGUACCUCUUCGAGAGGUAUUGGUGCUGUAGGGAAGCCGGAGAGUGUGCUACCUGGGAAGUAUAGUCGCAAGACCGAAACUUAAAGGAAUUGGCGGGGGAGCAC
rnacentral:rRNA from 1 species